CAGUAGCCACGGUAAUACGUAGGUGGCAAGCGUUGUCCGGAAUUAUUGGGCGUAAAGGGCUCGCAGGCGGUUUCUUAAGUCUGAUGUGAAAGCCCCCGGCUCAACCGGGGAGGGUCAUUGGAAACUGGGAAACUUGAGUGCAGAAGAGGAGAGUGGAACUCCACGUGUAGCGGUGAAAUGCGUAGAGAUGUGGAGGAACACCAGUGGCGAAGGCGACUCUCUGGUCUGUAACUGACGCUGAGGAGCGAAAGCGUGGGGAGCAAACAGGAUUAGAUACCCGGGUAGUCCCUGUCUCUUAUAC
rnacentral:rRNA from 1 species